rnacentral:rRNA from 1 species
GACGAACGCUGGCGGCGUGCUUAACACAUGCAAGUCGAACGGAAAGGCCCUGCUUUUGUGGGGUGCUCGAGUGGCGAACGGGUGAGUAACACGUGAGUAACCUGCCCUUGACUUUGGGAUAACUUCAGGAAACUGGGGCUAAUACCGGAUAGGAGCUCCUGCUGCAUGGUGGGGGUUGGAAAGUUUCGGCGGUUGGGGAUGGACUCGCGGCUUAUGAGCUUGUUGGUGGGGUAGUGGCUGACCAAGGCUUUGACGGGUAGCCGGCCUGGGAGGGUGACCGGGCUCAUUGGGACUGCGGUACGGCGCAGACUCGUACGGGAGGCAGCAGUCGAGAGUAUUGCACAAUGGGCGGGAGCCUGAGGCGGAAGCGCCGCGUGCGGGAUGACGGCCUUCGGGGUAAGAACCGCUUUCGCCUGUGACGAAGCGGGAGUGACGGUAAUGGGUAAAGAAGCACCGGCUAACUACGUG